GCGCUCACUUCAGCAGUACAUAUACUAUAAGUGGAGCCAUACAGAGAAGAUUAGCAUGGCCUCUGUGCAAGGAUGACAUGCAAAUUCGUGAAGCAAUCCAUACUUAC
ensembl:snRNA U6 U6 spliceosomal RNA